GUCGAGCGGGUAUUUCCGGUUCCGGCGGGGGGCUUUUCUCUCUCUCUUUCACUGCAAGGCGGCGGCAGGAGCGGUUGUGGUGCUGGUUUCUCUAAGCCAUCCAGUGCCAUCCUCGUCGCUGCAGCGACACACGCGCUCGCCGCCGCCAUGACUGAGCAGAUGACCCUUCGUGGCACCCUCAAGGGCCACAACGGCUGGGUAACCCAGAUCGCUACUACACCGCAGUUCCCGGACAUGAUCCUCUCCGCCUCUCGAGAUAAAACCAUCAUCAUGUGGAAGCUGACCAGGGAUGAGACCAACUAUGGAAUUCCACAGCGUGCUCUGCGGGGUCACUCCCACUUUGUUAGUGAUGUGGUUAUCUCCUCAGAUGGCCAGUUUGCCCUCUCAGGCUCCUGGGAUGGAACCCUGCGCCUCUGGGAUCUCACAACGCAAGUAGCUGCUCACUUAGCUCUGGGGCCUUGGGAAAAAUCUGGGCAGAAAUGAGGUGGAUGCAAUUGGCUGGUUUCCCAGGGGAGAUCCAGUCCAUUUGGGAACUGGAAAGCAGAGCACACCUACAGAAGAUGUUUGGCCUCCCUCACUUUAAAUAAGUUACUCAGCAUUGCUGAGGAGUGUGGCUGAACAUUUUUGCCAGGUGCAACAGUUCUGAGUGGGCAGCAGUUUGAACAUGUUUUACCUUGAAAGCUCAGGUAAUUGGCAGGUGGAAUUAGAGGGUCCUGGUGAUGACAGAUGGCAUUGUCAACCAAUCCCCAAGUGGGAGUGAGGACAUGUCCUGCAAUUCUGAAGGGAUUCUCUGUCACUUGGCUCUUCUCUUUCAUAUACUCAGUCACUUGACUCUGUGAUCAGAGCCAAAUCCAGGGUUGUAUGAGUGAUGCAAUGAGACAGAGACAAAGCCCAGGAAAUGGGUCUGACCGUUGAAUGAGAGUGUUUGCUAAGUCUGAGAAUGACAAACUCCUCCCUCUCAGGGGCACCACCACGAGGCGAUUUGUGGGCCAUACCAAGGAUGUGCUGAGUGUGGCCUUCUCCUCUGACAACCGGCAGAUUGUCUCUGGAUCUCGAGAUAAAACCAUCAAGCUAUGGAAUACCCUGGGUGUGUGCAAAUACACUGUCCAGGAUGAGAGCCACUCAGAGUGGGUGUCUUGUGUCCGCUUCUCGCCCAACAGCAGCAACCCUAUCAUCGUCUCCUGUGGCUGGGACAAGCUGGUCAAGGUAUGGAACCUGGCUAACUGCAAGCUGAAGACCAACCACAUUGGCCACACAGGCUAUCUGAACACGGUGACUGUCUCUCCAGAUGGAUCCCUCUGUGCUUCUGGAGGCAAGGAUGGCCAGGCCAUGUUAUGGGAUCUCAACGAAGGCAAACACCUUUACACGCUAGAUGGUGGGGACAUCAUCAACGCCCUGUGCUUCAGCCCUAACCGCUACUGGCUGUGUGCUGCCACAGGCCCCAGCAUCAAGAUCUGGGAUUUAGAGGGAAAGAUCAUUGUAGAUGAACUGAAGCAAGAAGUUAUCAGUACCAGCAGCAAGGCAGAACCACCCCAGUGCACCUCCCUGGCCUGGUCUGCUGAUGGCCAGACUCUGUUUGCUGGCUACACAGACAAUCUGGUGCGAGUGUGGCAGGUGACCAUUGGCACACGCUAGAAGUUUAUGGCAGAGC
rnacentral:sRNA from 1 species